rnacentral:RNase_P_RNA from 1 species
UGGGCCGUCCGACUCGCCGCUGUGUUCCGGGGUCUCGCCCGGGACGCAGAGCAAAGUCCGGACUCGCGAGGACCCGGAAUCCACCGGGUCCGGAAAGGCCGCUCGGGCUAAAAACCCGAGGGGCGGCGCGGCGCAAGCCCGCCGCCACGUCAAGUGCAACAGAGAGCAGACCAGCCGAUGGCCGGAGAAUCUCCGGCACAGGUGUUGGGUGAAAGGGUGGGGUAAGAGCCCACCGGCGGUAUCCCGCGAGGGACCGGCCAGGUAAACCACCGGUGUGAGCAAGCCAAAUUGUCCCGGCUAACUUAGCCGGGCUGGUAGGCGCGGCUCCCCGAGGGAGCCCGGGGCUCCACUAGGCUCCGGAGAUGGAUGGUGGGAUAGAGCAGAAUCCGGCUUACGGGACGGUCCAGGCC